rnacentral:rRNA from 1 species
UUCGUAGGCGGUGUGGCAAGUCGGGAGUGAAAUCUCUGGGCUUAACUCAGAGGCUGCUUCCGAAACUGCCGUGCUAGAGUGCGGGAGAGGCGAGUGGAAUUGCAGGUGUAGCGGUGAAAUGCGUAGAUAUCUGCAGGAACACCCGUGGCGAAGGCGGCUCGCUGGACCGCAACUGACGCUGAGGAACGAAAGCUAGGGGAGCAAACAGGAUUAGAUACCCUGGUAGUCCUAGCCCUAAACCAUCAGGACUUGGGGUGCAUCCCGUUCGGGGUGCGUCCCGUAGCUAACGCGUUAAGUCCUGCGCCUGGGGAGUACGGUCGCAAGGCUGAA